rnacentral:rRNA from 1 species
UACGUAGGGAGCAAGCGUUGUCCGGAAUCAUUGGGCGUAAAGCGCGCGUAGGUGGCCUCAUAAGUCCGCUGUGAAAGUCAAAGGCUCAACCUUUGAAAGCCGGUGGAUACUGUGAGGCUAGAGUACGGAAGAGGCGAGUGGAAUUCCCGGUGUAGCAGUGAAAUGCGUAGAGAUCGGGAGGAACAUCAGUUGCGAAGGCGGCUCUCUGGACCAGUACUGACGCUGAGGCACGAAAGCGUGGGGAGCAAACAGG